rnacentral:rRNA from 1 species
UUAUAUGAGAGUUUGAUCCUGGCUCAGGAUGAACGCUGGCGGCGUGCCUAAUACAUGCAAGUCGAACGAGUUCUCGUUGAUGAUCGGUGCUUGCACCGAGAUUCAACAUGGAACGAGUGGCGGACGGGUGAGUAACACGUGGGUAACCUGCCCUUAAGUGGGGGAUAACAUUUGGAAACAGAUGCUAAUACCGCAUAGAUCCAAGAACCGCAUGGUUCUUGGCUGAAAGAUGGCGUAAGCUAUCGCUUUUGGAUGGACCCGCGGCGUAUUAGCUAGUUGGUGAGGUAAUGGCUCACCAAGGCGAUGAUACGUAGCCGAACUGAGAGGUUGAUCGGCCACAUUGGGACUGAGACACGGCCCAAACUCCUACGGGAGGCAGCAGUAGGGAAUCUUCCACAAUGGACGCAAGUCUGAUGGAGCAACGCCGCGUGAGUGAAGAAGGCUUUCGGGUCGUAAAACUCUGUUGUUGGAGAAGAAUGGUCGGCAGAGUAACUG